AAACCAUGAUGAGGACACUGUCGCAAUAAAUCCUUAAAUUUAUCCCAUGCUUUAAAUAGUGAUUCUUCAUCUACUUGAGUAAAGCUUUUGAUUCUAUUUCUCAUAU